GUGCCAGCAGCCGCGGUAAUACGUAGGGAGCAAGCGUUGUCCGGAAUCAUUGGGCGUAAAGCGCGCGUAGUUGGCUUCGUAAGUCCGUUGUGAAAGUCAAAGGCUCAACCUUUGAAAGCCGAUGGAUACUGUGAAGCUAGAGUACGUAAGAGGCGAGUGGAAUUCCUGGUGUAGCGGUGGAAUGCGCAGAUAUCAGGAGGAACACCAAUAGCGAAGGCAGCUCGCUGGGACGUUACUGACACUGAGGCGCGAAAGCGUGGGGAGCGAACAGGAUUAGAAACCCCUGUAGUCC
rnacentral:rRNA from 1 species